AUGCCUAGACUACUCCCCAAACCAUUGAAUUACAAUCUCUAGAGGGGGACACAACAUCAGUAUUUUCUUUAAUACCCCUGGGAAGUUCCAAAGAUGAUCCCAACAUCAGGUCUACUCUUCUACAUGAAUGAUUUCUAAGUGAAAGACAUUAAAAUACCAUCAUUUGGGCAAGAAAGCAGCAUUUCCUGUCUUGUAAUAACACAACACUGGGAUAUAACUGGAGAAUGAGAGUUCCUACUUGUUAAAUACUGAUGAUGUCCCAGGAUUAACCAAUUUGUUCCUUUUAACUUUCCCUACUUUAUGGAGGUACGAAACAGGCGUGCAGUGAAGUUAAGUAAGUUGCUCAAGAUCAUGUCCCUAGUGACAGGGCUGGGAUUUAAACCCGGGUACCCUGGUUUCAGAGUCCCUGAAUUAGGCCUACGCUAUAGGGCCCUGUGUGCUCAGUUUCUGGGAGACUAUUAACGGCUUUGCUCUCUGUGAGCAGCACUUAGGGCGAACAUGGAAUGAGCCCACCAUCUAUCACACUGGGUUGGAAUCCAGGAGCCACCAUUUCAUAGUGAUGUAACGUGAGCAAGUCCUUCAGCUCUCCGGAGCCUGUCUUCUCAUCUGGAAGAUGGUGUAACGGUGUCCACCUUAACUGCCUGCUGGGAAGGCUUACAACAAAUGAGGGAAGUCCUUGGCCCAGUGCCUGACAUGGGGCUGAGGUUCAAGAAAUGUUUGCUGUCUUCCUCUUCUCCCUCAGCCCUUCCUCUCACGGUCCUCAGAGCCCCCUAAGAGUUUUUCCCAGUUGCUUUUUGAGUGACUGCAAACGCUAUUUCCCUCACCAUCGGCAGACACGAUUGACUGAACAAAUACAUUCUGGGGAAAUGAGAAAGCCUUCCUGCGGUAUGGAAGGAAGCACAGAUGUUAGGCUUUGCUGAACAAUGAGUGGGACACGCCGGACACUGGAAAUGAAGGAAACGUGUGCUGCUCCUGGAGGGAACAGACGGCCUGAUUCACCGGCUGUGGUGUCCCAGCACAUCUCAGAGCAGCUGCCCUGCACCAAGGGUCCGGGUGCUGGGUGGGGCACCCACAGCCGCGGGACGUGCUGCGAGUCAGUACUAAUGAAAAAGUCCUGCAGCUCCUGAGUGACUCACUCACCACAGUCAGACAUCAGACUACAUGCACUUUCUUGAGGGGAGAGAGAGGCAGGCAGAGCCUAGUUCGCUGUGCUUGUGCACAGUUCUGGGGUAGGCUUUUGGGAGUCUUACCAGUGAAAGUCACCCAAAGCUAAAAAUGAUUGCACAUGUUGCUUAAGACAUUUUUAGAGAAUCUAGAAUAACUAAUUUUUAUAUGCACCCACUUCCAGGAAGUUUUGAGGGGGCUCACGAAAGGAGGUGAAGGUACUUUAAGCGAAGAUGGGAUAAGUAAAUCAGAGAAAGAAAACUCUGCUGGUGGUUGGGGAAAACAAGAGAUAGAGAAUGCGAACUCAUCUAAUGCUAGACCAGGAGGGAUCCUAGACACUGAGCAGAAAAUAGAGCUCAGAGGCUCCUGGCAGCGGAGGCAAAAAGAUCCGCACAGUGCGGUCUGUGGCUUUCCUGUUUUCAUUGAUUGAAAAGAAAAAAAGAAA